rnacentral:rRNA from 1 species
UACGUAGGGGGCGAGCGUUGUCCGGAAUGAUUGGGCGUAAAGGGCGCGUAGGCGGCGCGGUAAGUCCGGAGUGAAAGUCCUGCUUUCAAGGUGGGAAUUGCUUUGGAUACUGCCGCGCUUGAGUGCAGGAGAGGUUAUCGGAAUUCCCGGUGUAGCGGUGAAAUGCGUAGGGAUCGGGAGGAACACCAGUGGCGAAGGCGGGUAACUGGACUGCAACUGACGCUGAGGCGCGAAAGUGUGGGGAGCAAACAGGAUUAGAUACCCUGGUAGUCCACACUGUAAACGAUGAAUGCUAGGUGUAAGAGGUAUCGACCCCUUUUGUGCCGGAGUCAACACAAUAAGCAUUCCGCCUGGGGAGUACGGCCGCAAGGUUGAAACUCAAAGGAAUUGACGGGG